UCUGGGACAAUGCAAAUCAUAAAGACUUCUAAAGCAAUUAAUGGAUUCAGCCCCAUUUACAUCAAAGUUCCAGUUCUGAUUUAUGCACUGCCAUGACAGCAGUGCUCCUCUGGGACAAGGCAGCUAACAAAAUCCCAAAGUUGCACAUAAAUGCUGGGAACAUCUUCAACUAAGUGGAUCUUAUAAAGGGACAAUCUUUUACACUGGGACAGCCUUCCAAACAGGAGUUAAACAGACAUUUAGUUCUCCAGGAAAAACAGUCAAGCCUUAAGAGAAAUGCUUUUCCCACACAGUUUAAGCUUCUGGACCUUAACUGUCUACCUGUUCUGAACCAUAAAUGUUCACCUACUUCCUGAUUAGAACCAAAAAAGAGAUGUAACCCAAAAAGGAAGGCUUGCCAAAGACUUAAGGAAAUGCACCAGUGACUCCUCUCAUGAUUUCUCAUGAAAAAAAAAGAAAAAUGGAUGAUGACUUAAAAUUGUUGAGCAGGGGAGAAGCUUCAUGGCCUUGCGUGAAUGUAGAAGGAAACACUGAACAUGUUAGACAGUCUUCCUUGGGGCCCUUGAGCAGCUGCAGUUGUGCCACAUCCAAAAGAAGUGAUUAGAGCCUGCUUGACAUGUGGAAUAUUGUCUGCCCAAGCUGGGUUCCCUCCCAUUAUUAGUAGACUGAUAUAAGACUUGAUAGUUAUUGUGAAUAUUGAGCACUUUCAUGGGGCUGUGAGUAUAAUGGUGGGGCAUGAUCAUCAUCAUCAUCAUCACAACAAUAAUAACAAAGAAAAAAAAUAACAACAAAGCCAACAAAAUCUACUGUUUGAAAAUUAAGUUAUGUGGCCAGAUCACGCAGAUCUAAGAGAACACAGGAAGUUUGUAGUGUGUAAUGGUGUGAAAUGCUUUUUUUAAAGGAAAGAAAUUAACUGUCGUUACUAGAGAAGGAAAGUGGUGUGAAUAUGAGCAGCUCAUUGAUAUGUACAAACAUGAACACAGUCAAAAAUUAGAGUUGCCACUGAGAGAACAGAAGUUUUACUUAGAAAUAUUAUUUAAAUCUAUGAAAGCUCACUAGCUGUCAGAAUUCAAUGUUUUUCCUCUCUUCGCUGCAUUUGGUAAUAAUAAAAACAUAUUUUCAGAAGAUUGCA
rnacentral:lncRNA from 1 species